UACGGGGGGGGCAAGCGUUGUUCGGAAUUACUGGGCGUAAAGGGCUCGUAGGCGGCCAACUAAGUCAGACGUGAAAUCCCCAGGCUCAACCUGGGAACUGCGUCUGAUACUGGAUGGCUUGAAUCCGGGAGAGGGAUGCAGAAUUCCAGGUGUAGCGGUGAAAUGCGUAGAUAUCUGGAGGAACACCGGUGGCGAAGGCGGCAUCCUGGACCGAUACUGACGCUGAGGCGCGAAAGCCAGGGGAGCAAACGGG
rnacentral:rRNA from 1 species